UCGGGAAUUUUGGGCAAUGGGGGAAACCCUGACCCAGCAACGCCGCGUGAAGGAUGAAGUAUUUCGGUAUGUAAACUUCGAAAGAAUAGGAAGAAUAAAUGACGGUACUAUUUAUAAGGUCCGGCUAACUACGUGCCAGCAGCCGCGGUAAUACGUAGGGACCAAGCGUUGUUCGGAUUUACUGGGCGUAAAGGGCGCGUAGGCGGCAUGACAAGUCACUUGUGAAAUCUCUGGGCUUAACCCAGAACGGCCAAGUGAUACUGUCGCGCUAGAGUGCAGAAGGGGCAAUCGGAAUUCUUGGUGUAGCGGUGAAAUGCGUGGAUAUCAAGAGGAACACCUGAGGUGAAGACGGGUUGCUGGGCUGACACUGACGCUGAGGCGCGAAAGCCAGGGGAGCGAACGGGAUUAGAUACCCGAGUAGUCCCUGAGCGGGCUGGCAAGGCGCAU
rnacentral:rRNA from 1 species